rnacentral:rRNA from 1 species
ACCCUUUAACGUUUGAUGUUCUAACCCGGGUCCAUAAUCUGGAUCGGGGACCGUGUCUGGUGGGUAGUUUGACUGGGGCGGUCUCCUCCCAAAGAGUAACGGAGGAGCACGAAGGUUGGCUAAGCAUGGUCGGACAUCAUGCGGUUAGUGCAAAGGCAUAAGCCAGCUUGACUGCGAGAGUGACGGCUCGAGCAGGUACGAAAGUAGGUCUUAGUGAUCCGGUGGUUCUGAAUGGAAGGGCCAUCGCUCAACGGAUAAAAGGUACUCCGGGGAUAACAGGCUGAUACCGCCCAAGAGUUCAUAUCGACGGCGGUGUUUGGCACCUCGAUGUCGGCUCAUCACAUCCUGGGGCUGAAGUAGGUCCCAAGGGUAUGGCUGUUCGCCAUUUAAAGUGGUACGCGAGCUGGGUUUAGAACGUCGUGAGACAGUUCGGUCCCUAUCUGCCGUGGGCG